GCAAUGUGGAGCUGUAAGGCUGCAGAGAAGAAAAGGGUACCACACACUGGCUGUGUGCCACCUACUGAGGCUCAGUUAUUCCCAGGGAAAGAAACACAGGGUUCCUGGAAAUAAUGAUAUACCAUAGCCAGUGGAGGUGAACAUCUGUUUCAAGAACUGUGAACUUACAGAGACCAUUUGUCUAUCUGAUCUUCCUUUCUUGUUUUUCGGUGCACCCUAUCCAUUUCUCUGUUAAUUAAAUAGAUGUGAAAUCACUAAGCCACUGGAUCGAAGAAACAAUUAAACAACAACUGAAAUAAA